rnacentral:rRNA from 1 species
GCAAGUCUGGUGCCAGCAGCCGCGAUAAUUCCAGCUCCAAUAGCGUAUAUUAAAGUUGUUGCAGUUAAAAAGCUCGUAGUUGAACCUUGGGUCUGGCUGGCCGGUCCGCCUCACCGCGUGUACUGGUCCGGCCGGACCUUUCCUUCUGGGGAGUCGCAUGCCCUUCACUGGGUGUGUCGAGGAUCCAGGACUUUUACUUUGAAAAAAUUAGAGUGUUCAAAGCAGGCCUAUGCUCGAAUACAUUAACAUGGAAUAAUAGAAUAGGACGUGUGGUUCUAUUUUGUUGGUUUCUAGGACCGCCGUAAUGAUUAAUAGGGAUAGUCGGGGGCAUCAGUAUUCAAUUGUCAGAGGUGAAAUUCUUGGAUUUAUUGAAGACUAACUACUGCGAAAGCAUUGCCAA